rnacentral:rRNA from 1 species
CCUACGGGAGGCUGCAGUAGGGAAUCUUCCACAAUGGGCGAAAGCCUGAUGGAGCAACGCCGCGUGGGUGAAGAAGGUCUUCGGAUCGUAAAACCCUGUUGUUAGAGAAGAAAGUGCGUGUGAGUAACUGUUCACGUUUCGACGGUAUCUAACCAGAAAGCCCCGGCUAACUACGUGCCAGCAGCCGCGGUAAUACGUAGGGGGCAAGCGUUAUCCGGAUUUAUUGGGCGUAAAGGGAACGCAGGCGGUCUUGUAAGUCUGAUGUGAAAGCCUUCGGCUUAACCGGAGUAGUGCAUUGGAAACUGGGAGACUGGAGUGCAGAAGAGGAGAGUGGAACUCCAUGUGUAGCGGUGAAAUGCGUAGAUAUAUGGAAGAACACCAGUGGCGAAAGCGGCUCUCUGGUCUGUAACUGACGCUGAGGUUCGAAAGCGUGGGUAGCAAACAGGAUUAGAUACCCCGGUAGUC